rnacentral:tRNA from 1 species
GCCUGAGUAGCUCAGCUGGAUAGAGCAACAGAUUCCUAAUUUGUAGGUCAUAGGUUCAAAUCCUAUCUCGGGCA